GAGUUUGAUCCUGGCUCAGGAUGAACGCUGGCGGCGUGCUUAACACAUGCAAGUCGAACGGAGUUAACAUUUUUAAAGCAAAUAGCUUGCUAGGAGUGGAGAAGGUGUUAACUUAGUGGCGGACGGGUGAGUAACGCGUGGGUAACCUGCCGUAUGCAGGGGGAUAACACUUAGAAAUAGGUGCUAACACCGCAUAAGCGCACGAGAGCGCAUGCUUUUGUGUGAAAAACUCCGGUGGCAUACGAUGGACCCGCGUCUGAUUAGCCAGUUGGCAGGGUAACGGCCUACCAAAGCGACGAUCAGUAGCCGGCCUGAGAGGGCGGACGGCCACAUUGGGACUGAGACACGGCCCAAACUCCUACGGGAGGCAGCAGUGGGGGAUAUUGCACAAUGGGGGAAACCCUGAUGCAGCGACGCCGCGUGAGUGAAGAAGUAUUUCGGUAUGUAAAGCUCUAUCAGCAGGGAAGAAGAUGACAGUACCUGAGUAAGAAGCCCCGGCUAACUACGUGCCAGCAGCCGCGGUAAUACGUAGGGGGCAAGCGUUAUCCGGAUUUACUGGGUGUAAAGGGAGCGUAGACGGUUGUAUAAGUCUGGAGUGAAAGCCCGGGGCCCAACCCCGGGACUGCUUUGGAAACUGUGUAACUUGAGUACAGGAGGGGCAGGCGGAAUUCCUGGUGUAGCGGUGAAAUGCGUAGAUAUCAGGAGGAACACCGGCGGCGAAGGCGGCCUGCUGGACUGAAACUGA
rnacentral:rRNA from 1 species